rnacentral:sRNA from 1 species
GGGGCGUUGGGCAUCAGUUUGUUCAUUCUUUGAACAAGUAUUUCCCAGUGUCGUCCGUGAACUCCCCAGACCCUGCCCUUGGGGGCAAAUAGGCAACCCUGCUCUAUGCCCCAGAACCCCGGGGCCUCGAGGGCAGAGGACUGACCUCCCUCUUCCCCACAGGAGAGCUUCACCUUCCAGGUGUCCACCAAGGACGUGCCGCUGGCGCUGAUGGCCUGUGCCCUGCGGAAGAAGGCCACGGUGUUCCGGCAGCCGCUGGUGGAGCAGCCGGAAGACUACACGCUGCAGGUGAACGGCAGGCAUGAGUACCUGUACGGCAGCUACCCGCUCUGCCAGUUCCAGUACAUCUGCAGCUGCCUGCACAGUGGGCUGACCCCUCACCUGACCAUGGUCCAUUCCUCCUCCAUCCUCGCCAUGCGGGAUGAGCAGAGCAACCCUGCCCCCCAGGUCCAGAAACCGCGUGCCAAACCACCUCCCAUUCCUGCGAAGAAGCCUUCCUCUGUGUCCCUGUGGUCCCUGGAGCAGCCGUUCUGCAUC